rnacentral:rRNA from 1 species
CCUACGGGUGGCAGCAGUGGGGAAUAUUGCACAAUGGGGGAAACCCUGAUGCAGCGACGCCGCGUGAGUGAAGAAGGAAUUCGUUAGGUAAAGCUCUAUCAGCAGGGAAGAAAAUGACGGUACCUGAGUAAGAAGCCCCGGCUAACUACGGGCCAGAAGCCGCGGUAAUACGUAGGGGGCAAGCGUUAUCCGGAUUUACUGGGGGUCACGGGAGCGUAGACGGCAGGGCAAGGCUGGAGGGAAAGGCGGGGGCUCAACCCCCGGACUGCUCUGGAAACUGUACGGCUGGAGUGCAGGAGAGUUAGGCGGCCCUCCUAGUGUAGCGGUGACCUGCGUAGAUAUUAGGAGGAACACCAGUGGCGCCGGCGGCCUACUGGACGGUGACUGACGCUGAGGCUC